rnacentral:rRNA from 1 species
AUGCUUCUCAAUAAGCCUCUAGCCCGGAGAGUGCAUCUCACCUGUUCAAUGUACAUGAAGGCGGUUCCCUCGUGGUGCAACAACAAGAUUACUUGCUACCAGCAAAUCAUAUCUAGGUGGAUAGACCCGGAGUGGUGGGCUGAGCACAGAAUGGCUAAGGACCGGCAUGCCUUGAUGGGUGGUAUGGUACACCUUCAAGGCAACCUCAACCUCCACGUUUACGUGCAGAAGAAGAAUAGGGAGAGAGGUGAGGGCGAAGAGCCGCCCAAUACAUUCACGGGAUUAUGUCUCUCUCGCAAGUCAAAGAAACCAUAA